GGCUCAGGACGAACGCUGGCGGCGUGCCUAAUACAUGCAAGUCGAGCGGACCGACGGGAGCUUGCUCCCUUAGGUCAGCGGCGGACGGGUGAGUAACACGUGGGUAACCUGCCUGUAAGACUGGGAUAACUCCGGGAAACCGGGGCUAAUACCGGAUGCUUGAUUGAACCGCAUGGUUCAAUCAUAAAAGGUGGCUUUUAGCUACCACUUACAGAUGGACCCGCGGCGCAUUAGCUAGUUGGUGAGGUAACGGCUCACCAAGGCGACGAUGCGUAGCCGACCUGAGAGGGUGAUCGGCCACACUGGGACUGAGACACGGCCCAGACUCCUACGGGAGGCAGCAGUAGGGAAUCUUCCGCAAUGGACGAAAGUCUGACGGAGCAACGCCGCGUGAGUGAUGAAGGUUUUCGGAUCGUAAAACUCUGUUGUUAGGGAAGAACAAGUACCGUUCGAAUAGGGCGGCACCUUGACGGUACCUAACCAGAAAGCCACGGCUAACUACGUGCCAGCAGCCGCGGUAAUACGUAGGUGGCAAGCGUUGUCCGGAAUUAUUGGGCGUAAAGCGCGCGCAGGCGGUUUCUUAAGUCUGAUGUGAAAGCCCCCGGCUCAACCGGGGAGGGUCAUUGGAAACUGGGGAACUUGAGUGCAGAAGAGGAGAGUGGAAUUCCACGUGUAGCGGUGAAAUGCGUAGAGAUGUGGAGGAACACCAGUGGCGAAGGCGACUCUCUGGUCUGUAACUGACGCUGAGGCGCGAAAGCGUGGGGAGCGAACAGGAUUAGAUACCCUGGUAGUCCACGCCGUAAACGAUGAGUGCUAAGUGUUAGAGGGUUUCCGCCCUUUAGUGCUGCAGCAAACGCAUUAAGCACUCCGCCUGGGGAGUACGGUCGCAAGACUGAAACUCAAAGGAAUUGACGGGGGCCCGCACAAGCGGUGGAGCAUGUGGUUUAAUUCGAAGCAACGCGAAGAACCUUACCAGGUCUUGACAUCCUCUGACAACCCUAGAGAUAGGGCUUCCCCUUCGGGGGCAGAGUGACAGGUGGUGCA
rnacentral:rRNA from 1 species